rnacentral:rRNA from 1 species
GAUGAGCGCUGGCUACAGGCUUAACACAUGCAAGUCGAGGGGAAACGACGGGGAAGCUUGCUUCCCCGGGCGUCGACCGGCGCACGGGUGAGUAACGCGUAUCCAACCUGCCUCUGACUGAGGGAUAACCCGUCGAAAGUCGGCCUAAUACCUCAUGGUAUCGUCUGCGGGCAUCCAACGACGAUUAAAGAUUUCAUCGGUCAGGGAUGGGGAUGCGUCUGAUUAGCUUGUUGGCGGGGUAACGGCCCACCAAGGCUACGAUCAGUAGGGGUUCUGAGAGGAAGGUCCCCCACAUUGGAACUGAGACACGGUCCAAACUCCUACGGGAGGCAGCAGUGAGGAAUAUUGGUCAAUGGGCGAGAGCCUGAACCAGCCAAGUAGCGUGCAGGAAGACGGCCCUAUGGGUUGUAAACUGCUUUUAUGCGGGGAUAAAGUGAGGGACGUGUCCCUCAUUGCAGGUACCGCAUGAAUAAGGACCGGCUAAUUCCGUG